AACGAACGCUGGCGGCAUGCCUAACACAUGCAAGUCGAACGAGACCGUCGGGUCUAGUGGCGCACGGGGGCGUAACGCGUGGGAAGCUGCACUUAGGUUCGGAAUAACUCCCCGAGAGGGGUGCUAAUACCGGAUAAGGUCUUCGGACCAAAGAUCUAUCGCCGUUGGGUGGGCGCGCGUUGGAUUAGCUGGUUGGUAAGGUAAAAGCAUACCAACGACACGUUCCUUAGCUGGUCUGGGAGGAUGACCCGCCACACUUGGACUGAGACACGGCCCAGAGUCCUACGGAAGGGAGCAGUGGGGAAUAUUGGACGAUGGGCGAAAGCCUGAUCCAGCAAUGCCGCGUGAGUGAUGAAGGCCUUAGGGUUGUAAAGCUCUUUUACCCGGGAUGAUAAUGACAGUACCGGGAGAAUAAGCUCCGGCUAACUCCGUG
rnacentral:rRNA from 1 species